AUGUCAUCGAGUGUGGUACAAAUUUUCAUACCGAGCUACUUUCACGUAUGUGUAUUUCUCUUUUAUCGAAAAAGAAUCCAUUUAAUUGUACAAUUUUCGAGAAAUUAAUACGACGUGAUAUAGGAACAAGCUCCCUCUUCACUUCAGCAUUACAGUAGUGCGACUUUUGGUUGCCCACAUCGGUGUGCUCCCAGCAGCUCUGAUAGGAAUUUAAUCAUGACCAAUCAAAAGCCAACAGCUACGUCCCGGCUGAAGCAGGACUACAUGCGUCUGAAGAGGGAUCCAGUACCCUAUAUCACGGCGGAACCGCUCCCUUCGAACAUCCUCGAGUGGCACUACGUGAUCAACGGGCCGGAAGAUUCUCCGUACCACGGUGGAUAUUACCACGGAACGUUACUGUUUACCAAGGAGUUUCCUUUUAAACCGCCAUCGAUUUACAUGGUAACGCCGAACGGGCGGUUCAAAACUAACAAACGGCUUUGCCUUAGCAUAUCGGAUUUCCAUCCGGACACCUGGAAUCCAGCAUGGUCGGUGGCAACCAUUUUGACGGGUCUUCUCAGCUUCAUGCUGGAAACUACACCCACGCUCGGUUCGUGCGAAUCGACUACAUAUGAGAAACGGAAAUAUGCCCGCCAAUCGUUAGAAUUUAACAUGAAAAACGAGGUGUUUUGUGAGCUGUUCCCCGAAAUUUGCGAAGAGAUCAACGAGCGUUUGGCCAAGAUCGAAGAGCACCGGAAACAGAAUGCAGCGAACAAUAACACUUCGAACGUCGCCAAUGGAACUGCCGGUGUUGGCACGCCAGCAGAAGGAUUGGAAGGGGACUCCUCUGAAGGCGGAGCUAGCGCAGUAUCGAACACCGACGAUAGCAAUAACAUUUGGCAUUCCCUGUACACCAAUCUGAUCGUGCUGAUCGGAUUCGUCAUAUUCGCACUAAUAGUUCAUUAUGUGAUCAAAAGCAUGAACAUUGAAUGAUUGUAAGCAACAGCAUGCGCACCAUAUCCACUCUUUUUUCCUUGUUUAUUUUUAUGGGAAUGUAGGCAUAUUUAUAAUACAAUGUUCCGAUCGAUCGACGCUUGUAACAAGCCCUUCAUUUUUUGUUUUAUUGUACACAAUGGAUAUACCACUAAACGCGUUUAUUGUUAAUACUUUUAUGUUCGGGCUCAGUCUUUUCAAACUGUUUCAUAAAUUGAAGGAAUAUCCACUUUCACCUUGGUAAUACUUUCCACUAGGAAAUCUGGGUGUUAAAAAUAUACCAACUGGUCUGCGAAAAUCUUAUGCAGAUCACCUAAUAUAAAAGAAAUAAAACUGUAGAUAUGAUUAAAAAAAGAAAUCGUAUAAAAUUGUUUUAAAUAAAUCAAUAACAAAAACGGAAUGCACUUUUUGCACACAUCAAUACUGACUACAUAGCAGUAACAAAUAUUACAGUACCAAAUAAAAAAUAUCAGUUUUCUAGAUUCCUUCAGAUAGAAACAAAACGAAUUGUUGUAUUAAACUGCAAAAAAAUGAACGUUCUGCCACAUAGAUUGCUAAAUCUAGUUUUUAACAAAGCAGCAAAAUUCCAUAAUCGGUGAUUUUUAUUAUUAUAGUCUAGAAGAGCAUAUUUAGCAAACGUGCGAUCAUCGGUGCACACCACACUCACACACACGCGGGCUUGAUCCCAUUUAGGAGCGGCAGUAUAUAUGACUACCUAAAACAGGACAUAGAAAUAUUGCAACGCAAAUUAAAAGCAAAAAAUAUAUAAAUAGGUGAUGCCCUUUGGAAUGCAAAACGAACGACAAAAUAAAAGUGUGUAAAACUAAAUGGUGAUUGAGCGAUAAUUAUCUAAAACAACAAAAACAGAAGAAAAUGAUAAUUCAGUAUUUAUUGUAAAUUAAACUAUUAAUAGAAAACAGUAAAUAAAAUGUGGCUGGAUGGCUUUAAUUUUUUUUGAUAGUAUGAUAUCAAUAAUAAAGGAAAU